UAGGGAAUUUUGCGCAAUGGGGGAAACCCUGACGCAGCGACGCCCCGUGAGUGAUGAAGGCUUUAGGGUUGUAAAGCUCUGUUCCUGGUGAACAAAAAAAUGAGGGUAACCAGGGAGAAAGAACCGGCUAACUUCGUGCCAGCAGCCGCGGUAAGACGAGGGGUUCAAGCGUUGUCCGGAAUUAUUGGGCGUAAAGCGGAUGUAGGUGGCUUUGUAAGUCAGGAGUGAAAGCCUCAGGCUUAACCUGAGAAGUGCUUUUGAUACUGCGGAGCUUGAGUAUGGAAGAGGGCAACGGAAUUCCUGGUGUAGUGGUGAAAUACGUAGAUAUCAGGAGGAACACCGGAGGCGAAGGCGGUUGCCUGGUCCAUUACUGACAUUGCAAUCCGAAAGCGUGGGGAGCAAACAGG
rnacentral:rRNA from 1 species